rnacentral:rRNA from 1 species
AGGACGAACGCUGGCGGCGUGCUUAACACAUGCAAGUCGAGCGGAAAGGCCCUUCGGGGUACUCGAGCGGCGAACGGGUGAGUAACACGUGAGUAACCUGCCCCUAGCUCUGGGAUAGCUCCGGGAAGCCGGGAUUAAUACCAGAUACGACCACUUUAGACAUCUGUCGUGGUGGAAAGGAUUCCGGCUAGGGAUGGGCUCGCGGCCUAUCAGCUUGUUGGUGGGGUAACGCCUACCAAGGCGACGACGGGUA